GGGGGGGGGGGGGGGGGGGGCGGGGGGGGGCGGGGCGGGCGGGCGGGCGGGGGGCUUGCGGCGCUGAUGUUAGCGGCGGGCGGGGGAGUAACACGUGGAUACCCUACCUAUAAGACUGGGAUAACUUCGGGAAACCGUAGCUAAUACCGGAUAAUAUUUUGAACCGCAUGGUUCAAAAGUGAAAGACGGUCUUGCUGUCACUGAUAGAUGGAUCCGCGCUGCAUUAGCUAGUUGGUAAGGUAACGGCUUACCAAGGCAACGAUGCAUAGCCGACCUGAGAGGGUGAUCGGCCACACUGGAACUGAGACACGGUCCAGACUCCUACGGGAGGCAGCAGUAGGGAAUCUUCCGCAAUGGGCGAAAGCCUGACGGAGCAACGCCGCGUGAGUGAUGAAGGUCUUCGGAUCGUAAAACUCUGUUAUUAGGGAAGAACAUAUGUGUAAGUAACUGUGCACAUCGUGACGGUACCUAAUCAGAAAGCCACGGCUAACUACGUG
rnacentral:rRNA from 1 species